rnacentral:rRNA from 1 species
AUGAACGCUGGCGGCGUGCCUAAUACAUGCAAGUCGAGCCAACAGACGAGGAGCUUGCUCCUCUGACGUUAGCGGCGGACGGGUGAGUAACACGUGGAUAACCUACCUAUAAGACUGGGAUAACUUCGGGAAACCGGAGCUAAUACCGGAUAAUAUAUUGAACCGCAUGGUUCAAUAGUGAAAGUCGGUUUUGCUGUCACUUAUAGAUGGAUCCGCGCCGCAUUAGCUAGUUGGUAAGGUAACGGCUUACCAAGGCAACGAUGCGUAGCCGACCUGAGAGGGUGGUCGCCCACACUGGAAGUGAGGAUCGGUCCAGACUCCUGCGGGAGGCAGCAGUAGGGAAUCUUCCGCGAUGGGGGAAAGCCUGACGGAGCAACGCCGCGUGAGGGAUGAAGGUCUUCGGAUCGUAGAGCUCUGUUAUUAGGGAAGAACAAAUGUGUAAGUAACUAUGCACGUCUUGACGGUACCUAAUCAGAAAGCCACGGCUAACUACGUG